UGGCUGUAAGUAAGAGUUUAAACUCCCCACUGUCAUCAAAUCGAGGCUAACCACUGCACGGAGCUGCCAAAGGAAAGGGCUGAAAAGCCAACUUAUACGUAACCUUGCGAAGCAACACUCAUCACGGGGGGGUCACAACUUCAAAACAGCCCCUAUACGGUAGCUUUCAUGCAUCUCUUUCUACUUCUUCCUUAUCUUUUUUUUCCACUCAUCAAACAGGCGAGCGCGAGCGCGACCUUUGUGGUGAGAACGGCUGCGAGCACCUGCACCUGCGCUGUUUUACGUUGCUUGGGUCUGGCUGCGCUCACUGAUACAGCCAUUCAUCUGAGCUCCUCCGGUCGAUAUUUACCUGUCUAACAGAAACGUGUCCAGAGUGCAAGGUCUCUUGGUUUCUGACCCAUGAAGGAGAUGCCAGAUCUAACGCAAGGGCCAUAUUAAAAAAUGAGUACACGCUACUAUUUCAGAAAAAGUCCGAUUCUCACUGAUGCACUGACCCAGUCCAUCAGUCGUGAGAACAGCAUUUACAGUCGCUGCAACCCUGGACCCUCUGGCUGUGUCUUUUAUUGGGAUCUGGGCCUGAACACACACACACACCCGCAGAAAAGGCAUCUCUGGAGACCCGCCAUCAUCUGUCUGUCCUCCAAAGUCCCCCAUCGUACGAGAAACCAACAAAGACGACCCUGGAAUUUACAAUUAAAACACCAAAACGCUCUCAUGCUACGCUGCUUUGCUAAAGCUAUAAAAUGCCGAGAGGACCACCAAGGCAUGAGUCCCUCCACAGAACACAAACAAGCUCAAGUACUGAAUCCUGGAGGAGGCUGAUGAACUGUGUGAGGACUGUACAGGUAGAAGGGAAACCAAGAUGGCCUCCAGACGGCAGCAGAGCAAACGCUGAGCAGAGCCUUCUAUGGCGUCAGCUCAGUAACGUCACUGCAAACGAUGUUGGGACUGUGAAUUGUGAAUUUAGGUUAUUUGUGUCCAGUCUUAUGAUCGAAAAUGUGCACUCUUUGCAGAAUUGGCGUUUUCCAUUUAUUAAUAAUUCAUCAGCUGAUAUAGGCAGAAGUGUAAUAUUUAGAAUGAGCCUGAAUGAACCAUGUGAGACAGUCUGAACGGAAGCCCGACUCUGGGUUUUUAACUUUAACUUUCAGUACGAGCCAAACAAUGCCUGGACUCAAGCUCUGUGUGAAGCACGGCUGCAUAGUCGCGUGAUGAAAGAGCUGCUUCAUGGCUGCAUGCGUGUCAGUGUGUUGCAGGGACACAGUCUGGUUCCAUCGCCUUUCUGCUCGGCUCUAAUCUGAUUUUCCCAUCCUUUCAUCUUUCCCUCCUCACUCUUUCCGGCCGUCUUUCCUCACGUCUCGCAGCCCACGGUCGCUGUGGACGUCACGUAUGGAUGCUUUGAGUCGUGUACUUUGAGUGUUUGCACUAAUUCAGAGUUUUCUAAACGCUGUGGACAUUUCUCUUUCUCGCUGUCUGGGCUUCAGCAUGACAAGAACACUUACGCUGAAUUUAUGCUAUCGUGAUUCCCAGAAGAAGCCAAUUUUUUCAUGUCUAAUAUACAAACUGUAAAUUUAACU